rnacentral:tRNA from 1 species
AAAAAGGUAAGCUAAGUCUAAGCUAUCGGGUUCAUACCCCGCCUAUAAAGGUGCUCUUUCCUUUUUA